ensembl:lncRNA
CAAAACAGAACUUCAUCUUAAAAGAGGCUGCGGUGACCACUGUACGUUAAUGAAGCUCAGUUUUGUCAAUUAAGAUGAUAAAUUAAGUAUUUUUAGUGAGAUUCCACUGUUGUGAGAGAGAGUGCAUGGAUUUUCCACACCUGCUGUGAACAUUUGUAGUGGUAAAAAUUUUCAGAUGUGUCAACGCUGGAUGUGAGGAUGGGGCUUAUUUUUCUCUGUGAGCUGGGCCUAUUCUUGCUCUGUACACUUCUCUGCACUGGACACGGUCAAGAUGCUGUAUUAACUAUUAAGCCAAGCUCAUCAAUUUUUUUCAUCGGAGAGACUGUUAUUUUCACAUGUGACAUGAAGGAAGGACUACACACCGACUGGAAUUACAAACUCAACAAGAAUGAUCGAGAACUUAUCGACUACAACCCGAACAAAAGCUACAGAAUGCAAAUUAAAUCAACACUUCACAGUGGUAAAUACCACUGUUCUGGUUACAGAACGAGCUCAUAUUCUACAAAGAACAGUAAUACCAUCUCUAUAACUGUGUUGGCAGGUAAACCCAGGGCCACACUGACUCCAGGAUCAACUAUCAUACCAGUAGGGGGCAGUGUGACACUGACCUGCUCUGUGGGGAGCUCUGCUGGCUGGAAAUAUGAGUGGUUCAGACGUGACCCAAACACUGAAGUUCUAAUCAGAACAGAUGAUCAACCAAAC